rnacentral:rRNA from 1 species
GCGCGAAAACUUUACAAUGCCGGCAACGGCGAUCAGGGGACCUCGCGUGCCAGGUUACACAUCUGGCUGUCGUGAUGCCUAAAAAGCAUUGCAUAGCAAGGGCCGGGCAAGACCGGUGCCAGCCGCCGCGGUAACACCGGCGGCUCGAGUGGUAACCGUUAUUAUUGGGUCUAAAGGGUCUGUAGCCGGCCGGAUAAGUCUCUUGAGAAAUCCAGCAGCUCAACUGUUGGGCUUUCAGGAGAUACUGUCUGGCUCGAGGCCGGGAGAGGUGAGAGGUACUUCAGGGGUAGGGGUGAAAUCUUGUAAUCCUUGAAGGACCACCAGUGGCGAAGGCGUCUCACCAGAACGGACCUGACGGCAAGGGACGAAAGCUAGGGGCACGAACC